CGGGACGGGUGAGUAAUGCUUGGGAAUCUAGCUUAUGAGGGGGGAUAACUACGGGAAACUGUAGCUAAUACCGCGUAAUAUCGAAAGAUUAAAGUGUGGGACCUUCGGGCCACAUGCCAUAGGAUGAGCCCAAGUGGGAUUAGGUAGUUGGUGAGGUAAAGGCUCACCAAGCCGACGAUCUCUAGCUGGUCUGAGAGGAUGACCAGCCACACUGGGACUGAGACACGGCCCAG
rnacentral:rRNA from 1 species